CGGGAAUUUUGGGCAAUGGGCGAAAGCCUGACCCAGCAACGCCGCGUGAGGGAUGAAGUAUUUCGGUAUGUAAACCUCGAAAGAAUGGGAAGAAUAAAUGACGGUACCAUUUAUAAGCUCCGGCUAACUACGUGCCAGCAGCCGCGGUAAUACGUAGGGAGCAAGCGUUGUUCGGAUUUACUGGGCGUAAAGGGCGCGUAGGCGGCGCGGUAAGUCACUUGUGAAAUCUCUGAGCUUAACUCAGAACGGCCAAGUGAUACUGCUGUGCUAGAGUGCGGAAGAGGCAACCGGAAUUCUUGGUGUAGCGGUGAAAUGCGUAGAUAUCAAGAGGAACACCCGAGACGAAGGCGGGUUGCUGGGCCGACACUGACGCUGAUGCGCGAAAGCCAGGGGAGCAAACG
rnacentral:rRNA from 1 species